AAUAAAUCGACUGAAAAUAUCAAAAUCCCAAAAUACUUUCAAUACAGGAUGAAACAAUGUGAACGAAGUUAAAUAAUGGAAGUAUAACACAAAAUCAAAGUGCACAUCCGAAAAAAAA